UACUUUUUAGUGGCGGACGGGUGAGUAACACGUUGGAACCUGCCCCGAAGAGGGGGAUAACCAUCCGAAAGGGUGGCUAAUACCCCAUAUACUCCGAUUUAUUCGGAGGAAAGCUUUCGCGCUUCGGGAGGGGCCUGCGUAACAUUAGCUUGUUGGUGAGGUAAAAGCUCACCAAGGCUACGAUGUUUAGCUGGUUUGAGAGGAUGAUCAGCCACACUGGGACUGAGAUACGGCCCAGACUCCUACGGGAGGCAGCAGUGAGGAAUAUUCCACAAUGGGGGCAACCCUGAUGGAGCGAUGCCGCGUGCAGGAAGACGCUUUUCGGAGUGUAAACUGCUUUUAACAGGGAAGAUUAUGACGGUACCUGUAGAAUAAGGACCGGCUAACUACGUGCCAGCAGCCGCGGUAAUACGUAGGGUCCGAGCGUUGUCCGGAAUUACUGGGCGUAAAGCGUUCGUAGGCGGUUUGAUAAGUUGGAUGUGAAAUCCUGUGGCUCAACCACAUGGACUGUGUCCAAAACUAUCUAACUAGAGCAUAGUAGAGGCAAGUGGAAUUUCUGGUGUAGGAGUGACAUCCGUAGAUAUCAGAAGGAACACCAAUGGCGAAGGCAGCUUGCUGGGCUAUUGCUGACGCUCAGGAACGAAAGCGUGGGGAGCGAACGGGAUUAGAUACCCCGGUAGUCCACGCCGUAAACGAUGAUCACUAACAGUAUGGAGAUUCGACCCUCUGUGUUGUAAAGCUAACGCGUUAAGUGAUCCGCCUGGGGAGUACGGGCGCAAGCUUAAAACUCAAAGGAAUUGACGGGGACCCGCACAAGCAGUGGAGGAUGUGGUUUAAUUCGACGCCAAGCGAAGAACCUUACCGAGGUUUGACAUCCCAGGAAAUCAAGCGAAAGCUAGAUGUGCCUUCGGGAACCUGGUGACAGGUGCUGCAUGGCCGUCGUCAGCUCGUGUCGUGAGAUGUUGGGUUAAGUCCCGCAACGAGCGCAACCCUCGUCUUAAGUUACUAUGUCUUAAGAGACCGCCUGGGUUAACCAGGAGGAAGGUGGGGAUGACGUCUGGUCAGCAUGGCCCUUACACCUCGGGCUACACA
rnacentral:rRNA from 1 species